rnacentral:rRNA from 1 species
UGGGGAAUUUUGGACAAUGGGCGAAAGCCUGAUCCAGCAAUGCCGCGUGAGUGAAGAAGGCCUUCGGGUUGUAAAGCUCUUUUGUCAGGGAAGAAACGGUGAAAGCUAAUAUCUUUUGCUAAUGACGGUACCUGAAGAAUAAGCACCGGCUAACUACGUGCCAGCAGCCGCGGUAAUACGUAGGGUGCAAGCGUUAAUCGGAAUUACUGGGCGUAAAGCGUGCGCAGGCGGUUUUGUAAGUCUGAUGUGAAAUCCCCGGGCUCAACCUGGGAAUUGCAUUGGAGACUGCAAGGCUAGAAUCUGGCAGAGGGGGGUUAGAAUUCCACGUGUAGCAGUGAAAUGCGUAGAUAUGUGGAGGAACACCGAUGGCGAAGGCAGCCCCCCUGGGUCAAGAUUUGGACGCUCAUGCACGAAAGCAUGGGGAGCAAACAGGAUUAGAUACCCUGGUAGUCCACGCCCUAAACGAUGUCUACUAGUUGUCGGGUCUUAAUUGACUUGGUAACGCAGCUAACGCGUGAAGUAGACCGCCUGGGGGAGUACGGUCGCAAGAUUAAAACUCAAA